rnacentral:rRNA from 1 species
AUUGAACGCUGGCGGCAGGCCUAACACAUGCAAGUCGAGCGAGCGGCGGACGGGUGAGUAAUGUAUGGGGACUGCCCGAUAGAGGGGGAUAACUACUGGAAACGGUAGCUAAUACCGCAUACUAUCGGAUAACCCAUAUGGGAUUAGCUCGUAGGUGAGGUAAUGGCUCACCUAGGCGACGAUCCAUAGCUGGUCUGAGAGGAUGAUCAGCCACACUGUGACUGAGACACGGCCCAGACUCCCACGGAGGCAGCAGUAGGGAAUAUGGCACAAGGGGCGCAAGCCUGAUGCAGCCAUGCCGCGUGUAUGAAGAAGGCCCUAGGGUUGUAAAGUACUUUCAGUCGGGAGGCGUUACCGACAGAAGAAGCACCGACUAACUCCGUGCCAGCAGCCGCGGUAAUAC